UGGGGAAUAUUGCACAAUGGGCGGAAGCCUGAUGCAGCGACGCCGCGUGAGGGAUGACGGCCUUCGGGUUGUAAACCUCUUUCAGUAGGGACGAAGCGUAAGCGACGGUACCUGCAGAAGAAGCACCGGCUAACUACGUGCCAGCAGCCGCGGUAAUACGUAGGGCGCGAGCGUUGUCCGGAAUUAUUGGGCGUAAAGGGCUUGUAGGCGGUUGGCCGCGUCUGCCGUGAAAUCCUCUGGCUUAACUGGGGGCGUGCGGUGGGUACGGGUUGACUUGAGUGCGGUAGGGGAGACUGGAAUUCCUGGUGUAGCGGUGGAAUGCGCAGAUAGCAGGAGGAACACCGGUGGCGAAGGCGGGUCUCUGGGCCGUUACUGACGCUGAGGAGCGAAAGCGUGGGGAGCGAACAGG
rnacentral:rRNA from 1 species